rnacentral:misc_RNA from 1 species
AAGUACAGAUGUAUUGGGGUAAAUAUCCUGAUAUACAGACAUGUUAAAAGCUCUAACCAGUAAUGUAACCUAUCUAAUUGUAUCUGCUUAUACUUAAAUAUUUUAACGGACAGAAAUUUACAAUUCAUGAGGCUACUCUUCCUUUAAUUGCUUAGAUUUGCGUGACUUCAUUUAUGAAAGUUGUGCUUUAAAGACUAAAGAGCAAUAAAAAUGUAAAUUUGGAAAAAACCAUUAAAUUGUCAAACAAAAAGAUUGCUCGAUGUUGAGGUUGUUUUUCAUGUAUUGUUUUAUUUACAUUUAAACGUUUCGCGGAUAUAUCAAGAUGGGACUUCUGUUCUGUGCCAUUUUUUCUCUGCAGACACUUAUUGUUUCGUCCUUGUCACAGUUUGAAGGUAUCAGUAAUUAUGUAUUUGAAAGAAAACAAUAAAAAAAUACACAGU